GAUCAUUAUUGAAUAAACCUGAUGGGUUGCUGCUGGCUCUCUCUAGGGGCAUGUGCACGCUUGUCAUCUUUAUAUCUUCUCCUGUGCACCUUUUGUAGACCUGAAUAUCUUUUCUGAAUGUGCAAGCGUUCAGGUUUGAGGAUUUGGCGUUGUCUGCCGUUCCUUGUAUUUUCAGGUCUAUGUUUCUUCAUAUACCCCAAUGUAUGUUAUAGAAUGUAAUAAUAUGGGCCUCUGUGCCUGUAACCUUGUACAACUUUCAGCAACGGAUCUCUUGGCUCUCGCAUCGAUGAAGAACGCAGCGAAAUGCGAUAAGUAAUGUGAAUUGCAGAAUUCAGUGAAUCAUCGAAUCUUUGAACGCACCUUGCGCUCCUUGGUAUUCCGAGGAGCAUGCCUGUUUGAGUGUCAUUAAUAUAUCAACCUCUUCAGCUCUUUGGUUGUUGAGUGUUGGAUCUGGGGGUUCUCUUUUGCUGGUCUCUUCUUGAGAUCGGCUCCCCUAAAAUGCAUUAGCGGAACAAUUUGUUGACUCGUUCAUUGGUGUGAUAAUUAUCUAUGCUAUUGACGUGAAGCAAGGUUCAGCUUCUAAUAGUCCAUUGAGUUGGACAGCUUUUCAUUAAUGUGACCUCAAAUCAGGUAGG
rnacentral:rRNA from 1 species